rnacentral:rRNA from 1 species
GACGAACGCUGGCGGCGUGCCUAAGACAUGCAAGUCGAGCGAGGGAACUUCGGUUUCCGAGCGGCGGACGGGUGAGUAACGCGUGGGUAACCUGCCCUUCAGCCCGGGAUAACUGCCUGAAAAGGUGGCUAAUACCGGAUGCGGUGAUGAGGUCGCAUGAACUGAUCACGAAAAUUACGGUGCUGAAGGAUGGGCCCGGUCCCAUUAGCUAGUUGGUGAGGUAACGGCCCACCAAGGCGACGAUGGGUAGCCGGCCUGAGAGGGUGGACGGCCACACUGGGACUGAGACACGGCCCAGACUCCUACGGGAGGCAGCAGCAGGGAAUCUUGGGCAAUGGGCGAAAGCCUGACCCAGCGACGCCGCGUGGAGGAAGAAGUCCUUCGGGGCGUAAACUCCUGGACGUGGGGGACGAGGAAGGACGGUACCCCGAGUACGAAAGGGACGGCUAACGUACGUG